ACUUAUGCUUGCACAGCGAGUCCGCUUAGCCACCGACCCAGCUGCCCAGCCCUGGAAUGUGAGCUCUGGAAUUUGUCCUUCCCAUUUGUUUCCUUCUCAAAUGUUUCCCCCAGUGGUUUUUUUUUUUUUUCUUUUUCUUUUUGUCAUAGCAAUGAGAAAAAUAACAAUGACAGCGGCCGUUGCGGAUGAAUACAGAUAACUAUUUCCAUUGGGUUCCAGAACCUCACUCCCACCAACGGAGAAGUGCUCAGUGGUUUCUUGGCUGUACUCUCAGAUACUUAUUGUCCUCAGUUUGGCAGCUUUACCUGGGAGUCAGAGACCACAGGGAACAGCGAGUUAUAGAACAUCCUUUCACCUGCUAGAUUUCCAAGUGAGGCAGGAGGCCUUGUCAGCCCACGUGAUUCCACAACAACUGCUCCGUGUGGGAAAUCUCCCUGAAGUGCUUUCUGCAAAGUCACGGAACUCUGUUUAGCCUUGCUUAUGUGGACAAGACUUUCAGGGGAGUGCGCACUCUCAGAAAUAACCGGAAUGCUGCCUGAGUCCUUCUGGUGAGAAAUGGGGGAACAGAACCCUGUGUGCCGAUUAUAGAAUUUUCAUGUUGACAUUGUAGGAGGUCUUUAAGUCACUUCCGGAAUGUUUCUGCCUUCCACUGACAUUUUCCUGUCUGUCCAUCUGUCCAUCUGUCCGUCUGUCUCAAAAAAGACUCCUAUAACCUAAGCUGGCUUUGAACUCAGUGUGCAUCUGAGGACGACCUUGAAGUUUCUGAACCUUUGCCUCUACUUACCAGAUACUAUUGCACUUUUCAGAAUGUCAUAUAAUUGGAACCAUACAGUCUGCGACCUUUCUUAGUUGGCUGUGUUUGCUCAGAAAAACAUACUUGUGUUUCCUCCAUGUCUUUUGGGGGCUUGGUAGUACAGUUUUAGGAUUAAUGAAUUUUAUCGUUAGGUAUUAGAAAUUGGAAGCCAGCUACUUCUGUUGACACUGUGAUCAAGCACCUUACUGAAGGACUUACUUAUUUCCUUGCUUAGUCUCAGAGGCAAUGGCCCAUCAUGGCAGAGGAGGCCUGGUCUAUGCAGCCUCCGCCAUGGUAAACAGGAAACAUCGAGACAGAAAGGAGUCAACAGGGACAAUCCUCCCAUCCUCCCGUCCUCCCAUCCUCCUGUCCUCCCCACCUCCAAGGCCCAUCUCCUCCAGGGAGAUCCCAUCUGCUAAAAUUUCUAGACCUUCCCAAAUGGAGAACCAGGCAUUUCAUACCGCAGACUCUGGGGCACUGCAGCUGUAAGCCUUAGCACGUUGCAUGUCUCAGACAGGUUCUGGGAAGGCCCAGGAACAAGAACGACUUUGUUUGCGUGGAAUCACUUGAAGAUGGUGGAAGGGGAGGAUUGAACAGGGGCAAUGAUGUGCAGAGGGGAGGAAAGAAGAGCAGGAGGUUCCCACAGCCCUGGUCAGAAGGUAUGAAGGAAAACUGGCAUCACUGCAGAAGUUACACAUCACAGGGGAGUGUGAAAAACAGUGGACAGCCCAGGGAGGAUUUAUUUUGGUUUAGUGGUUUUCAUUGACUACCUGGUACCAGUGCGGUUUUAAAGUUGUCUCUUCUGUACUUGAAACAAAGUUAAUUCCUGUACCCUUAACCACCCCAGCUUAGCUACACAAUGGGGAUGGUGGCAUUUUACAGUGGGAAGGAACCAUCAUGAUAACAGCGUAACUCAUAUAUUGUACAGAUAAUGAAAAUGUUUUUCCAGCA
ensembl:lincRNA 2810407A14Rik RIKEN cDNA 2810407A14 gene